UUGCACGGCCCUGGUUUUGUCGGUGGUGCACCUGACACUGGUGAUGCGGACCCUGUGCGGCCUGCCCAGCAGCCCCGGCUGGAUCGACGAGUACCUGGCACACGCCGAGACACACAUACAGGUGCUGCGGGAAGCGGGUCUGGCAGCCGACGCCUCGCUUCAACAGGGGCCCCAGCUGUGCGAAGUGGGCCAGGCGCAGCAGCCGUCGCUGUCGCUCUGGAAAGCGACGACAGACCGGCAACUCUCUGCGUGACCCGUCGGACGUUGCCAACCGCAUUUAAGCGUUGCUCCGUGGUUAAACCGCGGACAACCGACGUCGCCCGACCGAUCGGGCCGAAACCCGGUUCGUCGCUUGGACGAUGCUUUGAGGUCUGUCGACGACGUUUGCAUUUCCUUUCUGCGACGAGUUAUAGCACCGUCCUUGGAUCACCCGCUCUGGAACCUUUUCGUCGCGCCGUGGGGAAGUUUUUCACAUGGAAAAAUUAAAGGGUUGGGGUACGUGCGUCGACGGCGCUGGGAGUCGACCAAUCGGAUUGCUCGGAAAACCUAACGGCUGAUUGGGGUUUGGAGAAGCCGGUGUGGAGAGAGUCGCUGGAUGUGUCCACUCUUUCGCGAGACCCCACGGAUCCGUCAAAAAGAUGGACGGUUGGAAACGCUGUCUAUACUCGAGACCUAGGGAUCAUAUUAUUUCGGAAUAAUCGAAAUGUCAUGUAAAGGGCGGUACAUCUUGUCUUAACAAAAAAAGUAAUCAAGAUUUUUUUUUACUUAUUUUCUUUUUUAAACUUCUAUUCGGAUUAGCGCCGCUUGCGGUGAUAAAACUUGCUAGGGCAAAAACCACUGAAGCUUCCAGACCAGUAACUAGUUUAUCUAAGGGUCGUGGUUGUGGUCACCGACGGGAUAAGAAAUGCAGAACGUGGCGAAUAAUCAUCCUAUUGUCACUCCGCAGCCAAUGAGAAUGUGGCAUUAGCCGACGAAAGGGACAAGGACCGAAUCGUGCAGCAAGCAGUGUGAAAGAAAUGAGCCGCCGUCCGCAUUUCUUAGACUGUAGGCGCCUACGAAACGCUCGGCUUCUGACUCGUCCCCCGGGUAUCGUUUGCAGCUUCAACAGUCGUGUUCAAAACUUGCGUCUCCUUCUAGAGUUCCUCGCAUAAUAACGCUGCUAAAAAGCUGUAGCAUUGAUAGUAUAACUGCUUCUGUGACUCAGUUCUGAUAACAUAUUUCUUUAAUGUAUACUUCCAUCCUAACAUUUCUUUACCUAUUUAUUAUUCUCAACCACUCGCUUUCACUCUUGUGCUAGUGCAGUCUUGCUUCCCAAUAUGAAUCUCAGACCUGAGAAGAAAUGUAGUAUGUACUAAUAAAAGAAAAAAAAAAAGUUGCCAUACUUUCCAAGGCACUUUUUUUUUUUUUUUAAUUUCCAUUGGUGUCUUUUAUUGCGGCUUACAAGUGUUUUUUUUCUAUAAGUAUGGACCUUAACUACACAAAUUUGCCGCUGGGUUUAUAUUUUGUGUUCUCUGAAUUUUCGAGAAUAUUCAAACUGGUUCCUGCUUGUGCGUAUAUCGCGAUCACAUUAUACGUAUGUAGGCCUUCCAGUACAGUUCUGCCUCGCCUGCCGUACAAAUAUACAAGUGCAGCAUGUACAAGGGUGCAACCUGCAUACCAAUUCUUUGUGAAAACAGCUGUUUAUAGGGGAAUGCGUCUUAGAGGCCGGAAAAUAUGGUACAAACUUUCCGGCUUCAUGGAUGCACUUGGCCUAUUUUAAUAGACUGGUCUACUUGCAGCGUUCUAGAGAAAGUGUAACUCAAGCACCUACUUUUUACAGCGCAGCUCUUAGGCUCCCGUUUCCGGGUUGAGCGGCGGCACCGGCGCUGCGUCAACGUAACCGCGCUAAAUUUACCAUGAAAAUUGGUGUCAUGUGAUCACAACACCAAUUUAGUUUCCCCGCAAAAUUUAGUGAGGAAAAUAAUGUCACAUGACUUGGUGUCACAUCACCUACGGACAAAUUCAGUUUCUCUGCUAGAUUUAGCGGGAAAAUUGACGUCGUGUGAUUUCAACAGCACUUCAAUUCCCUGCUAAAUUUAGCGGGAAAAUUGACGUCACGUGACCUCAACAUCAAUUCAGUUUCCAUGCUAAAUGCAACGUGGAAAAUGACGUCACAUGACUUGGUGUCACGUCACCUACGAACAAAUUCAGUUUCUCCACUAGAUUUAGCGGGAAAAUUGUGGUCACGCGACUUCAACAGCACUUCAAUUCCCCGCUAAAUUUAGCGGGAAAAUUGACGUCACGUGACCUCAACACCAAUUCAGUUUCCAUGCUAAAUGUAACGUGGAAAAUGACAUCACACGACUUGGUGUCACGUCACCUAGCUAUGAACAAAUUCAGAGUCUCCGCUAAAUUUAGCGGGAAAAUUGACAUGUGCGGAGGAGGAGGAAGUAGGGAGAAGGGGAGAGGAGGAGUAGGGGAGGAGGAGGGGGAGAGAAGCAGGAAAGGAGCAGGAGGAGGAACGGAAUACCCUUCCCUCCAUGCCCUCCCCUCUUCCCCCUCAAGAGCUGCGCUCUAAUUUCGCUUUACAGAGAUCUAUGAAUGUCUAUAAUUUUUAGACUUUCUAAAAUAUAAAAUAGAUACACACGCUUUCUAGAAACCUUUUCCUCAGUUACUAGCUCGUAUUUGCAUUUUCACAGCUUUUGUUGCUCAGUGGCUAGAAUAUAGUCAAAUCAAGCACAUUAUAGCUUUAAAAUGGGUCUAACGGCUGAAUAUUGCUGGGCAGCGACUUGAACUACCUCUUGGGCAUUUGGGCUUAGCAAUUCAUCCUUCCACUUCACUCAGCUGCCCAGAAGAUUUCGCUUAGCAGCUCCCAUGACCAGAGCAGGUUAAAAUUCUGUGAACUAGCUCUACUUAAUUUUCGAAAGUUGCCUACUAUUCAUGGAAAACUGGUUGGAUAAACAGGUUGGGUGAACUAGCAUUAUUUUUAAAACAGUAUUUAGGUGCUCUUCUUAGUUCAACAUCAGUACUAUAUUUGUGUAAACAGAUGCAUUCAUGAUAUUUUAUAUGCUCUAUAAGCAUAUAAAAUAAGCUGGUAAGCUAGAAUGCAUGCUUGACUAAACUAUGCCACACUGUUAGGUGGUGGACUAUUUAUACAUUAUGUACAAUGGAAGACUGAAAGAAAUUGGAUGUCACCAGUCGGCCCAGCAGACCUGUCACCAGCACAAACGAUUUCUGUCAAAGUGUAGCCGAUUAUGUACUAUUGCAUAGUGAUGCUUCUGCAAGUGCUCUGCAGUAACUGGUAAAUUAUGCUCAUAUUUGCUCACCUGAAAGGAUGUGUAUAGCCUGUGAAUAACGCAGUCCCAUGGCAUGGUAGACAUUGGCUGUAGCUUGUGCAGCUAGUCUGUAGUAAAAGCUGAAUAAUCGCUGGUGCAAGAAAGCAUGCCACACAAUUCAAUGGCUGGAAAGCAUGCGAGGAAAUGCUGAAAGUGUGAACGCGUGCUGUCAGUGAGUCUUCCCGGAGCCGUAAAAAGCUGCCUUCUUUGUUUGUACUUUUGCUGUAAGCUUUGUACAUUGCCUUGCCUCAUAAUCUCCUUGUCUUUGCUGUAAAAGCACCAAAUCCCCUGAAAUAAAUAUGGUUGGUAUCUAA